rnacentral:rRNA from 1 species
UAGGGAAUAUUGCGCAAUGGAGGAAACUCUGACGCAGCGACGCCGCGUGAAGGAUGAAGUAUUUCGGUAUGUAAACUUCGAAAGAAUAGGAAGAAUAAAUGACGGUACUAUUUAUAAGGUCCGGCUAACUACGUGCCAGCAGCCGCGGUAAUACGUAGGGACCAAGCGUUGUUCGGAUUUACUGGGCGUAAAGCGUGCGUAGUCGGUAUUGAGAGUCACGGGUGAAAUCCCAGGGCUUAACCCUGGAACUGCCUGUGAGACCUCAGUACUAGAGUGUGAGAGGGGAUAGUGGAAUACCCAGUGUAGCGGUGAAAUGCGUAGAUAUUAGGAAGAACACCAGUGGCGAAGGCGGCCAACUGGCUCGAUACUGACGCUGAGGUGCGAAAGCGUGGGGAGCAAACAGGAUUAGAU